rnacentral:rRNA from 1 species
UGGCCCAUACAGGGGGAUAACACUUAGAAAUAGGUGCUAAUACCGCAUAACAACAGAAAGCGCAUGCUUUUUGUUUGAAAACCAAGGUGGUAUGGGAUGGACCCGCGUCUGAUUAGCUGGUUGGCGGGGUAAAGGCCCACCAAGGCGACGAUCAGUAGCCGGCCUGAGAGGGUGGACGGCCACAUUGGGACUGAGACACGGCCCAAACUCCUACGGGAGGCAGCAGUGGGGAAUAUUGCACAAUGGGGGAAACCCUGAUGCAGCGACGCCGCGUGAGUGAAGAAGUAAUUCGUUAUGUAAAGCUCUAUCAGCAGGGAAGAAAAUGACGGUACCUGAGUAAGAAGCCCCGGCUAACUACGUGCCAGCAGCCGCGGUAAUACGUAGGGGGCAAGCGUUAUCCGGAUUUACUGGGUGUAAAGGGAGCGUAGACGGCAGUGCAAGUCUGGAGUGAAAGGCGGGGGCUCAACCCCCGGACUGCUCUGGAAACUGUACGGCUGGAGUGCAGGAGAGGUAAGUGGAAUUCCUAGUGUAGCGGUGAAAUGCGUAGAUAUUAGGAGGAACACCAGUGGCGAAGGCGACUUACUGGACUGUAACUGACGCUGAGGCACGAAAGCGUGGGUAGCAAACAGGAUUAGAUACCCUGGUAGUCCACGCUGUAAACGAUGAAUACUAGGUGU